UACGUAGGGGGCAAGCGUUGUCCGGAAUCAUUGGGCGUAAAGCGCGUGUAGGCGGCUCGGUAAGUCCGCUCUGAAAGCCCGGGGCUCAACCCCGGGAGGCGGGUGGAUACUGCUGGGCUCGAGUCCGGAAGAGGAGUGUGGAAUUCCUGGUGUAGCGGUGAAAUGCGCAGAUAUCAGGAGGAACACCAAUGGCGAAGGCAGCACUCUGGGACGGUACUGACGCUGAGACGCGAAAGCGUGGGGAGCAAACAGG
rnacentral:rRNA from 1 species